UACGUAGGGGGCUAGCGUUGUCCGGAAUCAUUGGGCGUAAAGCGCGUGUAGGCGGCCUAGUAAGUCCGUUCUGAAAGCCCGGGGCUCAACCCCGGGAGGCGGAUGGAUACUGCAAGGCUCGAGUCCGGAAGAGGCAAGUGGAAUUCCCGGUGUAGCGGUGAAAUGCGCAGAUAUCGGGAGGAACACCCGUAGCGAAGGCGGCACUCUGGGCCGGUACUGACGCUGAGGAGCGAAAGCGUGGGGAGCAAACAGG
rnacentral:rRNA from 1 species